rnacentral:rRNA from 1 species
GGAGUUAGCCGGUGCUUCUUCUGUGAGUGAUGUCCUUCCUGCCGGCUAUUAACCCGCAGGCCUUCUUCCUCACUGAAAGUGCUUUACAACCCGAAGGCCUUCUUCACACACGCGGCAUGGCUGGAUCAGGGUUGCCCCCAUUGUCCAAUAUUCCCCACUGCUGCCUCCCGUAGGAGUCUGGGCCGUGUCUCAGUCCCAGUGUGGCUGAUCAUCCUCUCAGACCAGCUACGGAUCGUCGCCUUGGUGAGCCGUUACCUCACCAACCAGCUAAUCCGACAUAGGCUCAUCCGAUAGCGCGAGGCCCGAAGGUCCCCCGCUUUCCCCCGUAGGGCGUAUGCGGUAUUAGCCUGGGUUUCCCCAGGUUAUCCCCCACUACCGGGCAGAUUCCUAUGCAUUACUCACCCGUCCGCCGCUCGCCACCAGGGAGCAAGCUCCCCGUGCUGCCGCUCGACUUGCAUGUGUUAGGCCUGCCGCCAGCGUUCAAUCUGAGCAGANACAACUACUGA